CUCUCGAGCUGAAAGAAAACGCAGCUGAGGAGAUAUGAGACUGCAGACAAGAGCCAUCGACCAUCGUUCCAGUGCACAGAAACCAUGCAACAGGAAGAAGCUGUUUUUCUCUUGGUUGAUGAAACUUCCACCUAAACAGAUGCUGAGGCCCAGAUUUCCCUGC